rnacentral:pre_miRNA from 1 species
AGAUGAAUCACUUGGGAACUUGUUAAAAUGCAGAUUCUGAUUCAGUGAGUCUGAGGUGGGGCCCAGGACUCUGCAUUUCUAACAAGCUCUUAGGAGAUAGUCAU